AGUCAGCAACACAUUUCCAGUGAGGAAGUGUCACCUCAUGCCACAACACACACACACACACACACACACACACACACACACACACACACACAUACACACACACACACACACAUACGCACGCACGCGCGCGCAACCCGACCACUUAACAUUAAACUUUAAUUAUAAGGAAGAAUAUGUAUGUCAUGAACAAUAAACACACCCCGUGUGUGUGACGAGAAAACGGCAGCCUCACCUGUCCACAGAAGGCACUUACGCAUUUAGGACAAGUUGUUGGCUUUACACUGGUCCAUUAGCCAUUCGCAUAGACUUGGGGAGAGUGUUGGAAACUCCACACGAACAGUAACCAAAGAUCAAGAUGGAGCCUGUAGCUGGGAGAAUUUUUUUUUUUUAAUUGAGAAGAUCCUAGAGGUUCAUUUGAUGAUUCUGUGGUAAUCCCUCUCCAGUGGUAAGGUGUAAUUGCUUACAGCUUGACAUAUGGACUAAAGCCCGUAAAAUAACUCCUACACACUGACCUGUAUGAAGGUGGAGCUGAAAAAAUGCACACCCAGUGAACUUUAAUGGCAUUAAUAUAAAAUAUUAUUAUUUUAUUAUUAAGUAAUAUUAAUAAUAUAUGCUGUGAAUUAAAAUACUGAAAAUAUAAUUUGUUUAUCAUAUUCACACUAAUAAAAGUCAUGUGCAUUUCAUAUUUAACUUUUUCUGAUUGCGUCGCGUCAGCUUCACAGAGCGAUGGUGUUUGUCUCCAUCAAGUGGUCAAAUCUAGAACUGCAAUGUUUGUAUCUGUAUUUUGUUAAUGCAAUUCUUCUUUUUCUUCUUUUUCUUCUUCUGCUCCUUCUUCUUCUACUUUUAGCUAUGUGUUUAUAACAGCCCUACCUCCUCUUUUUUAGCAGCUGAUGAUCAUGGCCCCCACUGCUAUAUACCUGUGGAAAAAGGUCUCUCCUCUCAAUUUGCCUGAUGACGUCCAUGCUAAUAUUUUUAAAUGGGUCCUCAGUGGAAGUGGAUGCGCGAGCAUCUGUGGGGUUGCCAGUGGUUUCACUAGCUGACAUUCAAUGACACGCCACACAUCACUAUAAAGAUAGUUUACUGAUUUAACCUGCUUGGCUUUUUGGAUGGAAAGUGUAACACUGGAAUAGAUUUGUUGAUUAUCAAUUGAUUGAUUAUUUCAACUGGUCAAAUGUGCACCCUAGGGUCUUACUGCAUGCAAAGUGUGGAGGGGUAUAGCCAUGAACUCUAAAAGAACCAUGUCCCCCUGGCAUUAUGCUGACAUUACUGAUGCACACAGUCCACACCUCUCUAGGGUUACUUUUAGAUGCCAAAAAACAAUUAUCUUACUAAUGACUGCUGGCACAAGUAGAUACUAAUGAAUGUGCCUGUGCAUACACCUCACCUCUACCAGUUGCAGUGCAUUUCCCAAUGCCUUGCACUGAAGGAGGCUUUGAUAAAAAGUGAUCUGGUUGCAAGUUCAGCAAGGCCUGAGGGGUACUCAUUUGUGUAUUCACUGAAAUAUGGUACGUUUGUGAUCGAUCAAAGCUGGUCUGCGGCAUGUUAGGGAACGGGCUACCCUUGAGUUCAACCCGCUUCCUCUUGGGCUUUAGCUGACACUCUGCCACACCCUGUUGUCAGAGUUAACUGACAUUUUUUGCUGUUGUGUAGUUAUUUAUAUUUGUCAUGUCUGUGUACAAAUCAGGGAUCUGCAUAUUUCAUGUGAACAUAUACCUUAACGGACAGAGAGGAGAGCGGGUAAGGAAAAAUGACAGAGACACAGUAAGAGAGGAGGGGAGAGAAAGAGAGCGAGAGAGAACAGAGAGAGAGAGAAAGAGAGUGAGGAAAGAGGACAAAGGUGACAGGAGAGAAAGAGAAGAGGAAAGAAGAGAGAAUGGAAAGAGCACAGAAAGGGAAAGAAGAGUAAAAAGAGUCAGGAGAUUAGUAGGGACUUGUUCAUUGUAGAAAUGAUUUAGUGGUAACAAUUAUGUAUAUAAUAAAACAUGCCAGUGAUUUACAUUAAAAUGUGCUCUAUCCAGUGGUGGUGUCCCAAGAAACUAAAUUGAUUUGUGGAGGAAAAAUAUUCAAUAUUGUUUUAUGUUUAUUGAUUUUUCAUAUGGUGUUUGAAAUGGCAGUGAAUCAAUAUUUAAUUGUCCAUAUGGCCGAGCUGAUGUCCAAUACAUAACACUCUCACUCUUUAUAUUGCAUAAAUGUGGGUUUAUUCUGUGUGUUAUUACUAAAAUGUAAAUGCAAGAUCUGUUUAUAAAGUUAACUUAAAAAAUGUAUUAAUAUGUAAACUCAAAGUUAUUUAAAUGCAAGUAAAUGAGAAAGAGGGAAUGAAAAUGUCUAAUCUGGAAGCAAUGAAAAGAAACAGGCUGGUGUAUAUAAAGAUAAGAAGCAGCCUCAGUAAUAACAAACCUCAGGUCAAACAAACUUCAGGUUGGACAGCGUGUCACAGUGAGUCUGUCUAAUUCCUUUUUGUAUCUUUCAUCAAGGGUCCUUCAGCUCACAACCCAGAAACUGAUUAAAGUCCUUCAAGAAAUUAGGAAACAUAAUGCUGAAGUGCAAGAUAAAUGUACUUUGAAGACGCGUAGGACGCCGUGUUUGAGGCCCCUAAGUCUGAAACUGCGGUGGCAAGUCCUGGUGAGACACAAAGUGGGGUAGAAGAUGCCGUAGGAGACUGUGGUGAGGAACAGCAGAGGGUGGAAGAAGGCUG